CACGUGGUAUCCUGUCUGAAUAUGGGGGGACCAUCCUCCAAGGCUAAAUACUCCUGACUGACCGAUAGUGAACCAGUACCGUGAGGGAAAGGCGAAAAGAACCCCGGCGAGGGGAGUGAAAAAGAACCUGAAACCGUGUACGUACAAGCAGUGGGAGCACGCUUAGGCGUGUGACUGCGUACCUUUUGUAUAAUGGGUCAGCGACUUAUAUUCUGUAGCAAGGUUAACCGAAUAGGGGAGCCGAAGGGAAACCGAGUCUUAACUGGGCGUUAAGUUGCAGGGUAUAGACCCGAAACCCGGUGAUCUAGCCAUGGGCAGGUUGAAGGUUGGGUAACACUAACUGGAGGACCGAACCGACUAAUGUUGAAAAAUUAGCGGAUGACUUGUGGCUGGGGGUGAAAGGCCAAUCAAACCGGGAGAUAGCUGGUUCUCCCCGAAAGCUAUUUAGGUAGCGCCUCGUGAAUUCAUCUCCGGGGGUAGAGCACUGUUUCGGCAAGGGGGUCAUCCCGACUUACCAACCCGAUGCAAACUGCGAAUACCGGAGAAUGUUAUCACGGGAGACACACGGCGGGUGCUAACGUCCGUCGUGAAGAGGGAAACAACCCAGACCGCCAGCUAAGGUCCCAAAGUCAUGGUUAAGUGGGAAACGAUGUGGGAAGGCCCAGACAGCCAGGAUGUUGGCUUAGAAGCAGCCAUCAUUUAAAGAAAGCGUAAUAGCUCACUGGUCGAGUCGGCCUGCGCGGAAGAUGUAACGGGGCUAAACCAUGCACCGAAGCUGCGGCAGCGACGCUGAUGCGUUGUUGGGUAGGGGAGCGUUCUGUAAGCCUGUGAAGGUGUGCUGUGAGGCAUGCUGGAGGUAUCAGAAGUGCGAAUGCUGACAUAAGUAACGAUAAAGCGGGUGAAAAGCCCGCUCGCCGGAAGACCAAGGGUUCCUGUCCAACGUUAAUCGGGGCAGGGUGAGUCGACCCCUAAGGCGAGGCCGAAAGGCGUAGUCGAUGGGAAACAGGUUAAUAUUCCUGUACUUGGUGUUACUGCGAAGGGGGGACGGAGAAGGCUAUGUUGGCCGGGCGACGGUUGUCCCGGUUUAAGCGUGUAGGCUGGUUUUCCAGGCAAAUCCGGAAAAUCAAGGCUGAGGCGUGAUGACGAGGCACUACGGUGCUGAAGCAACAAAUGCCCUGCUUCCAGGAAAAGCCUCUAAGCAUCAGGUAACAUCAAAUCGUACCCCAAACCGACACAGGUGGUCAGGUAGAGAAUACCAAGGCGCUUGAGAGAACUCGGGUGAAGGAACUAGGCAAAAUGGUGCCGUAACUUCGGGAGAAGG
rnacentral:rRNA from 1 species